GUGCCAGCAGCCGCGGUAAUACGUAGGGUGCGAGCGUUGUCCGGAAUUAUUGGGCGUAAAGAGCUCGUAGGCGGUCUGUCGCGUCGAAUGUGAAAACCCGGGGCUCAACUCCGGGCUUGCAUUCGAUACGGGCAGGCUAGAGUUCGGUAGGGGAGUCUGGAAUUCCUGGUGUAGCGGUGAAAUGCGCAGAUAUCAGGAGGAACACCGGUGGCGAAGGCGGGACUCUGGGCCGAUACUGACGCUGAGGAGCGAAAGCGUGGGGAGCGAACAGGAUUAGAAACCCUCGUAGUCC
rnacentral:rRNA from 1 species